rnacentral:rRNA from 1 species
GAUGAACGCUGGCGGCGUGCCUAAUACAUGCAAGUCGAGCGAACAGACGAGGAGCUUGCUCCUCUGACGUUAGCGGCGGACGGGUGAGUAACACGUGGAUAACCUACCUAUAAGACUGGGAUAACUUCGGGAAACCGGAGCUAAUACCGGAUAAUAUAUUGAACCGCAUGGUUCAAUAGUGAAAGACGUUUUUGCUUUCACUUUUGGUUGAAUCCCCGCCGCAUUAGCUAUUUGGUAAGGUAACGGCUUACCAAGGCGACGAUGCGUAGCCGACCUGAGAGGGUGAUCGGCCACACUGGAACUGAGACACGGUCCAGACUCCUACGGGAGGCAGCAGUAGGGAAUCUUCCGCAAUGGGCGAAAGCCUGACGGAGCAACGCCGCGUGAGUGAUGAAGGUCUUCGGAUCGUAAAACUCUGUUAUUAGGGAAGAACAAAUGUGUAAGUAACUAUGCACGUCUUGACGGUACCUAAUCAGAAAGCCACGGCUAACUACGUG